GGCAUUUUGGGGAAUUCAAUCUCAAGAAAAGUAAAUAUUCAUACCAAAUAGAAUAGUCAUCUUUCUUGUCAUUAUGCAUGUCCAUAAUUCUUUUGUGGUUUCGUAACAGAUGUUGAAACGCAUAACACGCAUAUCUUUCUAUAGAGAAGGUAGCUAAUUUUACAAAAUUGUUAUUCUAAUUUAUUUCUUUUAGUAGCCCAAAUUUAUUUGUAUCUGUUUUAUGACAUGGCCAGGUUCUCAGUGUUCUUAAAAGAAUAAUCAAUGAAGAUUGCCUACUACUAGAUUUCAUACCGAAAGAUGAUAUCUACAACAAUAGAACUACAAGGAACAAGCCCAUCAGAAUUUGUUGUUCCUUUGGCCAAAUACAACAAGUCAAUGUACACCCAAGUCUCUCUCGGUAUGAGAUUCAGGAUGAUGUUUGAGACCGAGGAGUCUGGAGUACGUAGAUACAUGGGAACAAUCACUGGCAUCAAUGAUUUGGAUCAUGUUCGGUGGAAAAAUUCACAGUGGCGUAAUCUGCAGGUAUGGAUAUAAUAGUGGCUUUUACCAUUGUACAAACAAUGUUCUUAGAAUUAUAAUGGAAACAUAGUAUAAUAUUCCAACACUUGCAUAUAAGUUAUGGCUGUCCAUUUAUGACGUUAGUACUUUUUCAUUCCUUAUCACCAUAGAAUCAUGAGUAAACCACAUUCAGAUUAUGAAAAAAAGGAAAAAGGAAAACAGAAUAUGCUGUCCAUUUAUGACGUUAGUACCUUUUUAUUCCUUAUCACCAUAGAAUCAUGAAUAAAUCACAUCCAGAAUAUGAAAAAAAAA